rnacentral:rRNA from 1 species
AUUGAACGCUGGCGGCGUGCCUAACACAUGCAAGUCGAGCGGCAGCGUGGGAGCAAUCCUGGCGGCGAGCGGCGGACGGGUGAGUAACGCUUGGGAAUCUGCCUAUUAGUGGGGGACAACCCGGGGAAACUCGGGCUAAUACCGCAUACGCACUACGGUGGAAAGCCGGGGACCGCAAGGCCUGGCGCUAACAGAUGAGCCCAAGUCGGAUUAGCUAGUUGGUAGGGUAACGGCCUACCAAGGCGACGAUCCGUAACUGGUCUGAGAGGACGACCAGUCACACCGGAACUGAGACACGGUCCGGACUCCUACGGGAGGCAGCAGUGGGGAAUAUUGGACAAUGGGGGAAACCCUGAUCCAGCGACGCCGCGUGGGUGAAGAAGGCCUGCGGGUUGUAAAGCCCUUUCAGUGGGGAAGAAAGCUCGACCUAAUACGUCGGGGUCUUGACGUAACCCCAUAGAAGAAGCACCGGCUAACUCUGUGCCAG